UCAGCACUCCCGUGAGAAAGCCCUUCCAACCUCCACCAGGACAAGGAGCUGUCAUCAGGCACAACUAAAAUUGCCCAAAAUAUCUAGUCUCACCACGCCCCCAAGGGUAACAGCAGUGAUAAAUAUUGUCUAUAAGCGACAGCUUGAUUCAGUUAAAGAGAAGAGAGCCGGCCAAUUUGGUGCCAGCCGCCGCGGCUACACCAAAGACUCAAGUUGAUGAUCACCGGCGUCAAGCGUGGUUAAAGAGCCCGCAAAUUAAGGUUAAAUUAACACUUAGUAGUAAUAAGCUUGAUGUUAAGAAAAUCACAAACGAAAGUUACCCUAAUUACCCAUACUUGAACCCACGACAGCUGGGAAACAAACUAGGAUUAGAUACCCUACUAUGCCCAGCCGUAAAUAUUCUAAUUACACUCACCAACGCCAGGGAACUACGAGCUAUGCUUAAAACCCAAAGGACUUGGCGGUGACUCAUCCAACUAGAGGAGCCUGUUCUAUAAUCGAUAAUCCACGCUAUACCUAACCAUUUCUUGCUAGUCAGCCUGUAUACCUCCGUCGAAAGCCAACCCUGUGAAUGCUAAAGUAGGCCUAAUGAUACCCCAUCAACACGUCAGGUCAAGGUGCAGCUCACGAAAUGGGUGAAAUGGGCUACAAUUUCUAAUAUAGAACAAACGGAAGAUCAUAUGAAAUUAUGAUUAAAAGGUGGAUUUAGUAGUAAAAAGAAAAUAGAGAGUUCUUUUUAACCAAGGCCCUGAGACACGUACAUACCGCCCGUCACCCUCUUCAAUAGUUACCCAUACGU
rnacentral:rRNA from 1 species